CCUACGGGAGGCAGCAGUGAGGAAUAUUGGUCAAUGGACGAGAGUCUGAACCAGCCAAGUAGCGUGAAGGAUGACUGCCCUAUGGGUUGUAAACUUCUUUUAUAUAGGAAUAAAAUGUUCCACGUGUGCGUUUUUGUAUGUACUAUAUGAAUAAGGAUCGGCUAACUCCGUGCCAGCAGCCGCGGUAAUACGGAGGAUCCGAGCGUUAUCCGGAUUUAUUGGGUUUAAAGGGAGCGUAGGUGGGUUGUUAAGUCAGUUGUGAAAGUUUGCGGCUCAACCGUAAAAUUGCAGUUGAAACUGGCAGUCUUGAGUACAGUAGAGGUGGGCGGAAUUCGUGGUGUAGCGGUGAAAUGCUUAGAUAUCACGAAGAACUCCGAUUGCGAAGGCAGCUUACUAAACUGCCACUGACAUUGAUGCUCGAAAGUGUGGGUAUCAAACAGGAUUAGAUACCCGAGUAGUC
rnacentral:rRNA from 1 species